AGACACCUAAAACCAAUAUUUUUCCUUGGCGUGCAUGUACUGCUGGAUAUUUCGGCAUGUCCUGAGUGCAUAAUCAAGAACACAACAUUUGAGAGAAACUCCGUUAAGAAUGUAUGAUUCUUUUACAACUUUCCAUCAACGUGUCUGAUUUGAGUUACCUCUGUUGGUUUCUUCUUGCAGCCUUUCUGUUCCUUGUCAUCACUCUCAAGACACUAAUCAUGGAGAACGAAAGACUCUUCGACAAACUCCUGAACCAAUUGCUCAAUUUCAAAGUCAUCUCUCUCUUCGGCUUCUUCGUCAUAUGUUUCACCACCACCAGGAUCAAC
rnacentral:lncRNA from 1 species